rnacentral:rRNA from 1 species
UACGUAGGGUGCGAGCGUUGUCCGGAAUUACUGGGCGUAAAGAGCUCGUAGGUGGUUUGUCACGUCGUCUGUGAAAUUCCGGGGCUUAACUUCGGGCGUGCAGGCGAUACGGGCAAUACUUGAGUGCUGUAGGGGAGACUGGAAUUCCUGGUGUAGCGGUGGAAUGCGCAGAUAUCAGGAGGAACACCGAUGGCGAAGGCAGGUCUCUGGGCAGUAACUGACGCUGAGGAGCGAAAGCAUGGGUAGCGAACAGGAUUAGA